rnacentral:rRNA from 1 species
AUUGAACGCUGGCGGCAUGCUUUACACAUGCAAGUCGAACGGCAGCGCGGGCUUCGGCCUGGCGGCGAGUGGCGAACGGGUGAGUAAUACAUCGGAACGUGUCCAGUAGUGGGGGAUAGCUCGGCGAAAGCCGGAUUAAUACCGCAUACGACCUGAGGGUGAAAGCGGGGGAUCUUCGGACCUCGCGCUAUCGGAGCGGCCGAUGGCAGAUUAGCUAGUUGGUGGGGUAAAGGCCUACCAAGGCGACGAUCUGUAGCUGGUCUGAGAGGACGACCAGCCACACUGGGACUGAGACACGGCCCAGACUCCUACGGGAGGCAGCAGUGGGGAAUUUUGGACAAUGGGCGAAAGCCUGAUCCAGCAAUGCCGCGUGUGUGAUGAAGGCCUUCGGGUUGUAAAGCACUUUUGGCGGGAACGAAAAGGACUGUGCCAAUACCACGGUUCGAUGACGGUACCCGCAGAAUAAGCACCGGCUAACUACGUG